UGAACAUUCAAAAAAAUCAGUUGCAGGAACCUGAGGACUACAAAACUUGCAAUGCGAACCGGAGGUGUAACGCUAGAAAUCAAUCUUUUGGCCCUUUAACAAUAUGUCAACAAGUUGCUCAAAAAGAGGCGGGGGAAAGGAAAAG